rnacentral:lncRNA from 1 species
CUUAAGUCUUUCUCAAGUCCCUAUUAUUCAGCCAGCAGCCUCUGGUGCAAGUGGCAAAAGGCUUAAUGAUUAGUACCCGAAAUUUUAAAUUUAAAUUCUAGUUGAUUCACAUUUCUAGUUAAGUUUAUUUCUGAAUGAAAUAAAUGAAGCAGGUAGCAUGCUACUUAUCUCUUAAAAAAAAAAAAUUAUAAUUCAAAGAACUAUAAUUAUAAUAUCUCUCGAAGUGGGUAGCAUGCUACUUAUCUCUUAAUAAAAAAAACUCUCUAUGAUUCAAAGAACUAUAACUUAUAAUAUCUCUC